rnacentral:rRNA from 1 species
UAAGGAAUAUUGGUCAAUGGGCGGAAGCCUGAACCAGCCAUGCCGCGUGCAGGAAGACGGCCCUACGGGUUGUAAACUGCUUUUGUACGGGAAUAAACCUCAUUACGUGUAAUGAGCUGAAUGUACUGUAAGAAUAAGGAUCGGCUAACUCCGUGCCAGCAGCCGCGGUAAUACGGAGGAUCCAAGCGUUAUCCGGAUUUAUUGGGUUUAAAGGGUGCGUAGGUGGCUUUUUAAGUCAGGGGUGAAAGACGGCAGCUUAACUGUCGCAGUGCCUUUGAUACUGAAGAGCUUGAAUCCACUUGAGGUAGGCGGAAUGUGACAAGUAGCGGUGAAAUGCAUAGAUAUGUCACAGAACACCAAUUGCGAAGGCAGCUUACUAAAGUGGUAUUGACACUGAGGCACGAAAGCGUGGGGAUCAAACA